AUUGAACGCUGGCGGCAUGCCUCACACAUGCAAGUCGAACGGUAACAGGUCUUCGGAUGCUGACGAGUGGCGAACGGGUGAGUAAUACAUCGGAACGUGCCCGAUCGUGGGGGAUAACGGAGCGAAAGCUUUGCUAAUACCGCAUACGAUCUACGGAUGAAAGCAGGGGACCGCAAGGCCUUGCGCGGACGGAGCGGCCGAUGGCAGAUUAGGUAGUUGGUGGGAUAAAAGCUUACCAAGCCGACGAUCUGUAGCUGGUCUGAGAGGGCGACCAGCCACACUGGGACUGAGACACGUCCCAGACUCCUAGGGGAGGCAGCAGUGGGGAAUUUUGGACAAUGGGCGAAAGCCUGAUCCAGCCAUGCCGCGUGCAGGAUGAAGGCCUUCGGGUUGUAAACUGCUUUUGUACGGAACGAAAAGGCUCUUUCUAAUAAAGAGGGUUCAUGACGGUACCGUAAGAAUAAGCACCGGCUAACUACGUGCCAGCCGCCGCGGUAA
rnacentral:rRNA from 1 species